GACGGGUAUCCGGUCUGAGAGGGUGAACGGACACACUGGAACUGAGACACGGUCCAGACUCCUACGGGAGGCAGCAGUAGGGAAUAUUGCUCAAUGGGGGAAACCCUGAAGCAGCAACGCCGCGUGGAGGAUGAAGGUUUUAGGAUUGUAAACUCCUUUUGUUAGAGAAGAUUAUGACGGUAUCUAACGAAUAAGCACCGGCUAACUCCGUGCCAGCAGCCGCGGUAAUACGGAGGGUGCAAGCGUUACUCGGAAUCACUGGGCGUAAAGAGUGCGCAGGCGGGAUAGCAAGUCAGAUGUGAAAUGCUAUGGCUUAACCAUAGAACUGCAUUUGAAACUGUUAUUCUA
rnacentral:rRNA from 1 species